GCGUCGAUGGAAUAGUGGUGAUUUCGCCUGCCUUACACGCAGGAGGUCGCGAGUUCGAUCCUCGCUCGACGUA
rfam:Cyanidioschyzon merolae strain 10D DNA, chromosome 9, complete genome.